rnacentral:rRNA from 1 species
CUAUACAUGCAAGUCGAGCGGACCGAACAGGAGCUUGCUCUCUGUUCGGUUAGCGGCGGACGGGUGAGUAACACGUGGGUAACCUACCCGUAAGACCGGGAUAACUCCGGGAAACCGGAGCUAAUACCGGAUAACACCAAAGACCGCAUGGUCUUUGGUUGAAAGGCGGCUUCGGCUGUCACUUACGGAUGGGCCCGCGGCGCAUUAGCUAGUUGGUGAGGUAACGGCUCACCAAGGCGACGAUGCGUAGCCGGCCUGAGAGGGUGACCGGCCACACUGGGACUGAGACACGGCCCAGACUCCUACGGGAGGCAGCAGUAGGGAAUCUUCCGCAAUGGACGAAAGUCUGACGGAGCGACGCCGCGUGAGCGAAGAAGGUCUUCGGAUCGUAAAGCUCUGUUGUU